rnacentral:rRNA from 1 species
UACGGGGGGGGCAAGCGUUGUUCGGAAUUACUGGGCGUAAAGGGCUCGUAGGUGGCCAACUAAGUCAGACGUGAAAUCCCUCGGCUUAACCGGGGAACUGCGUCUGAUACUGGAUGGCUUGGGUUCGGGAGAGGGAUGCGGAAUUCCAGGUGUAGCGGUGAAAUGCGUAGAUAUCUGGAGGAACACCGGUGGCGAAGGCGGCAUCCUGGACCGGCAUUGACGCUGAGGCGCGAAAGCCAGGGGAGCAAACGGG